AUACGGAGGAUCCGAGCGUUAUCCGGAUUUAUUGGGUUUAAAGGGUGCGCAGGUGGGAUAUUAAGUCAGCUGUGAAAGUUUGGGGCUCAACCUUAAAAUUGCAGUUGAUACUGGUUUCCUUGAGUACGGUACAGGUGGGCGGAAUUCGUGGUGUAGCGGUGAAAUGCUUAGAUAUCACGAAGAACUCCGAUCGCGAAGGCUGCUCGCCGUGACGGAACUGCCACUGAUGCGCGAAAGGGCGGGUAUCAAACAGGAUUAGAUACGAUCGUAAACGGCAUAGUAGACGAUGAAUACCCGCUGUUUGCGAGACACUGUAAGCGGCCAAGCGAAAGCGUUAAGUAUUCCACCUGGGGAGUACGCCGGCAACGGUGAAACUCAAAUGAAUUGACGUGG
rnacentral:rRNA from 1 species